UCUUGUUAAGUUUUACCAGUUUCAUAAGUAGAUUGCUGUCUUUUCUAAUUCUAAAAAUAGUGCACAUUUAUUGUAGAAAUUUUAGAAAAUACAAAAAAGCUCAAAAAGAAAAUUAAAAUGGCCAUUGUUUGCUUCUGUGGUGAGAGCUGCUUUAUGACUUUUGGCUUGCUCCCCUCAGACUUGGCUUGCCUGGUUUGUUAACCUUCCAUCCUAGUUGUUGACAGAAUGCAGUUUCUCCCCAUCAGAAGACCAAGGUCUCUGUUUCCUUGGGGCUGAAAGUUGAGGUCAUGCUU
rnacentral:lncRNA from 1 species